rnacentral:rRNA from 1 species
GACGAACGCUGGCGGCGUGCCUAACACAUGCAAGUCGAGCGGGGUAGCAGCAAUGUUACCUAGCGGCGGACGGGUGAGUAACACGUGGGCAACCUGCCCUAUAGAGGGGGAUAGCCACCCGAAAGGGUGAUUAAUACCGCAUAACCCAGUGGUAUCGCAUGGUACUAUUGGCAAAGCAGAAAUGCGCUAUAGGAGGGGCCCGCGGCCCAUUAGCUAGUUGGUGAGAUAGCAGCCCACCAAGGCGACGAUGGGUAGCCGACCUGAGAGGGUGAUCGGCCACAUUGGAACUGAGACACGGUCCAGACUCCUACGGGAGGCAGCAGUGGGGAAUAUUGCGCAAUGGGGGAAACCCUGACGCAGCAACGCCGCGUGAGUGAAGAAGGCCUUCGGGUCGUAAAGCUCUUUAAUCAGGGACGAAAAAUGACGGUACCUGAAGAAUAAGCCACGGCUAACUACGUGCCAGCAGCCGCGGUAAUACGUAGGUGGCGAGCGUUGUCCGGAAUUACUGGGCGUAAAGGGUGCGUAGGCGGUUUCUUAAGUCAGAUGUGAAAUCCCAGGGCUCAACUCUGGAGUUGCAUUUGAAACUGGGGAGCUAGAGUGCAGGAGAGGAAAGCGGAAUUCCUAGUGUAGCGGUGAAAUGCGUAGAUA